rnacentral:rRNA from 1 species
UGCGCAGGCGGAACUUUAAGUCAGUGGUGAAAUCUUGCCGCUUAACGGUAAAAUUGCCAUUGAUACUGAAGUUCUUGAAUAUGGUUGAGGUAGGCGGAAUGUGUUGUGUAGCGGUGAAAUGCAUAGAUAUGACACAGAACGCCGAUUGCGAAGGCAGCUUACUAAGCCAUUAUUGACGCUGAGGCACGAAAGCGUGGGUAGCGAACAGGAUUAGAUACCCUGGUAGUC